rnacentral:rRNA from 1 species
UGGGGAAUAUUGCACAAUGGGCGCAAGCCUGAUGCAGCCAUGCCGCGUGUAUGAAGAAGGCCUUCGGGUUGUAAAGUACUUUCAGCGAGGAGGAAGGCGGUAAGGUUAAUAACCUUAUCGAUUGACGUUACUCGCAGAAGAAGCACCGGCUAACUCCGUGCCAGCAGCCGCGGUAAUACGGAGGGGGCAAGCGGUAAUCGGAAUUACUGGGCGUAAAGCGCACGCAGGCGGUCGGUCAAGUCGGAUGUGAAAUCCCCGGGCUCAACCUGGGAACUGCAUUCGAAACUGGCAGGCUAGAGUCUUGUAGAGGGGGGUAGAAUUCCAGGUGUAGCGGUGAAAUGCGUAGAGAUCUGGAGGAAUACCGGUGGCGAAGGCGGCCCCCUGGACAAAGACUGACGCUCAGGUGCGAAAGCGUGGGGAGCAAACA